UGGGGAAUUUUGGACAAUGGGGGAAACCCUGAUCCAGCCAUCCCGCGUGUGCGAUGAAGGCCUUCGGGUUGUAAAGCACUUUUGGCAGGAAAGAAACGUCAUGGGUUAAUACCCCGUGAAACUGACGGUACUUGCAGAAUAAGCACCGGCUAACUACGUGCCAGCAGCCGCGGUAAUACGUAGGGUGCAAGCGUUAAUCGGAAUUACUGGGCGUAAAGCGUGCGCAGGCGGUUCGGAAAGAAAGAUGUGAAAUCCCAGAGCUCAACUUUGGAACUGCAUUUUUAACUACCGGGCUAGAGUGUGUCAGAGGGAGGUGGAAUUGCGCGUGUAGCAGUGAAAUGCGUAGAUAUGCGGAGGAACACCGAUGGCGAAGGCAGCCUCCUGGGAUAACACUGACGCUCAUGCACGAAAGCGUGGGGAGCAAACAGG
rnacentral:rRNA from 1 species